GUUUUUACCUCAGGAAGAAAAUGUGGUAACUUUAAAACAAGCAGAGCCUGUCACCUUCUGUUGUGCCUCAGUAUUGGUAAAUAUCAGUGCUCCAUAGUCAGUGUUGACUCAGUGCUGAUCUCAGUGCUUCAGUUAAUUGGGGCUCCAAGGCACUUUACAUUAUUGCUUUUUAUUUUAUUUUGAAAGGUUUCAAGCCUGUGGAAAAGUUUAAAAACUAGUAUAAUGAACACUCAUGUUUACCUUCCCUUUCUGUCAGCAUACGUAAGAAAAAUUAGUAAUAUUUCAACAAUAUCCUAUAAUUUGCAGCCCUCAACAACAUUUCACCAGUUAUUCCAAAGAUGUCUUGGUAACUCUCCCCACCAAUCUGGCCCAGUGCCCUGCAAGCUGCAUUGCACUGGGGCUUGUUUUGUGGCUGAGCCUCAGUCAAGAACAGUCGUCCAUUCUUUUUGAAGUGUCCCGGUUGUUUUGCAAAUUCCUCCUCCAUUUGGAUUUAUCUGUUUCUCUCCCUCCCGACUAGACACAGGUUAGAAUUAUUGGAAAGACGCUCAUGCAGUUUCCCUGUGUGCCUGCCUCUUGCAUGACCCAGCCUGUCUGACUGCUGCUGAUGCUCUGAUUCCCUGGGGAAAGUGCUAGACGCCAACCAUCUCCAUUAGAAACUUGCCCCUUUGUAAUUACUCUGUAAUCUGUCUGGUACCUGGAGUUCCUAAUGGAUAUCCUGUUUCUCAACAGCCUUUAUCCCAGUGGCUUUAGUACCCACUGGCAAGCGUUGCCUAAGUCAACUAUUACGUAGAUGUUUGCAAAAUUGUGGAUAUACCUGUCCCCCCCAUUUCUUACAAAGAACAUCUUCCCACUGACCUUUUUAUUGAGUCAUAGACUCAAUGGGUUUUUUUUUUUUUAAUAUUUUUUUAAAUAUAAUCCAUUACCUUUAUUCUUUUGAUACUCAGAUUUUCUAGUGUGGUUGGUAGGAGCUCAACUGGCUCCUGUAUCCUUGUCACACAGCAGUCUGAGCAUCAUCUUCCUUUCUGGUUCAGUGAGAUGUUCCAGGCUCAUCUAGUACUUUCCCUGGCCCAAACCUGGUUCCUGUAAUGGGCAAUGGCACUUACAAGUUGUCAUUGCUUUUCUACCAUUUCAGUAGACUAAGCCUGGACAUUUAUUUGUGUUACUUUCUAUGUGGCUUUGGCCUCCUAAACCAACCAGAGCUCUCCCUGUUUUCACUCUUACUCUCCUGAAUCUUUUUCUCCACAAAGGAGGCAGGGUUUUUUGCCCCAAACUGAGAUCACAUCACUCAUCUGCUCACAGGCCAUCAUUCUUAAAAUUUCAGGAUUGGUCCUCACUCUGACUUCAUUCCCAUCAGCCACUUCAAUUCAAGCUCGUUCCUGACUCAGACCUUUUGUGCCUGCUGAUCCCUCCUAUUACGGCACCUGUCACGUGAAAUGGUAGAGCAAAAAUAGGAAAUGACAUUUGGUCAACAGGGCACUUGGAAUGUUUUGCAAAGCACAUUAUCUCCUGUCAUUCUUACAACCAUCAUGAAGGAAAUAGGGUGUUGGUGGUGCCAGCCUAGUUUACCAAAAUGUUACACGGUGAGACCUUAAGUGAUGAAAGGAUCGCACUGCCAUGACUUUUAAAAUAGGCUUUUGCUCCAGUUCUUAACUUCAGCUAUGCAGCCAUGGCGCCUGUGAUUGGCAUGAAUUCUUCUGCAUGCAUUUUAAUUUGUUCUUAUUUUACAGUUUGUUGACAUCGGAAUAGUAACAAGUAUUGAAAUAAAUCAUAAACAAGUGGAUGUUGCAAAAAAAGGACAAGAAGUCUGUGUAAAAAUAGAACCUAUCCCUGGUGAGUCGCCCAAAAUGUUUGGAAGACAUUUUGAAGCUACAGACAUUCUUGUUAGUAAGAUCAGCCGGCAGUCCAUUGAUGCACUCAAAGACUGGUUCAGAGACGAAAUGCAGAAGAGUGACUGGCAGCUUAUUGUGGAGCUGAAGAAAGUAUUUGAAAUCAUCUAAUUUUUUCACAUGGAGCAGGAACUGGAGUAAAUGCAAUACUGUGUUGUAAUAUCCCAACAAAAAUCAGACAAAAAAUGGAACAGACGUAUCUGGACAAUGAUGGACUUAAGUAUGGAAGGAAGAAAAAUAGGUGUAUAAAAUGUUUUCCAUGAGAAACCAAGAAACUUACACUGGUUUGACAGUGGUCAAUUACAUGUCCCCACAGUUCCAAUGUGCCUGUUCACUCACCUCUCCCUUCCCCAACCCUUCUCUACUUGGCUGCUGUUUUAAAGUUUGCCCUUCCCCAAAUUUGGAUUUUUAUUACAGAUCUAAAGCUCUUUCGAUUUUAUACUGAUUAAAUCAGUACUGCAGUAUUUGAUU
rnacentral:sRNA from 1 species